rnacentral:lncRNA from 1 species
UGAGUUUCAACGAGCUUGAGUCUGUACCAGAGAGCUUGUGUUACGCUACAACGCUUGUUAAGCUGAACAUUGGGAACAAUUUUGCCAACCUGAGAUCACUCCCGGGGUUGAUAGGCAACCUUGAGAAGCUGGAAGAGCUUGAUAUGAGCAAUAACCAGAUCCGUUACCUUCCUUACUCUUUCAAAGCGCUUUCACAGCUGCGUGUUCUUCACACACAGCAAAAUCCACUUGAAGAGCUUCCAAGGGAUAUAAUCAAAAAGGGGGCUCAGGUUAUUACUUAUCUAUGUUUAAUGUUUUGUCCUGUCUUUGCGUGUAUGUAUGAUUGAUUGUAUUAUUGUUUGGCUUCAUCCUCUCAGGCCGUGGUUCAGUACAUGAAUGAUCUAGUGGAGGCAAGAAACACCAAAUGUCAAAGAACUAAGCAGAAUAAGAGUUGGGUCGUCAGAAUCUGCUUCCUCUGCAAGUCCACCAACUAGAGAACACGGAGCCACUCUUGAACAAAAUCUGACUUCGAUUUCAUUCUUACAACUCCUGAAGUCCAAUCAAAGAUUCCAAUUGUAUACUUUGUAUUUGUUCAUACCUGACUUGAUCCUGAGGAAAAUGUAAUUCAAUUUCGUAAUGUCAAAUUGUUUAUAUUCUUGUUUCUCUUGUUGUAACUUUUUUUAUUUUUGAAGGGCUUACUUCUCCUGUUGUAACUUUCUUCUUUUUGAAUGCUGAAUUGAAUUGUAAUUCAAUGCUUGUUUCUUCUUCUUUUAAUGUGUAGCAAAACAUGUACUGGGAGUCUGGGAUAUCCGAAUCAAAACACGUUUCCACAGGCUCUGCUCUUUUUUUUUCUGUUUUAACCUGUUAAAAAGUUUACUGAGGAGAACAUAAGUGGCCGAGCAAAUUAUUGAGCAAUAUAUUUGUCAUCUUUUUUUUUUCUGUUUUAACCUGUUAAAAAGUUUACUGAGAACAUAAGCGGCCGAGCAAAUUAUUGAGCAACAUAUUUGUCAUCUAUUUCAUUUUAUUGACAAGUUUUUAUUCAUAGCCAGCCGUGGGUGAACACUAAAAAUAAUUCAAUUGAUAGAUACUCUAUUAAUACUUUACCAAUAAAUACUCAAAAAAAUAGAAAAGGUCGAAAAGUUUUCAAAUAAGUUACCUUAAAAUAUUCAAUUAUCAUGUGUCUGUGGACAGAAAAUAUCAAAGUAUUAUACAACAAGUAAAUAAAUACUCAAAAUUUGAAACAAUUAUAUAUUAUACAUUAUAUUUAAUUUUUGGUUAAAUCUGUAGACAAUUAGCAAUGAGAAUGUUGAAUUUUUCCAACAUUAUGAAACACAUAUGGAUUACAUUAAGAUGUUGAAUUUUAAAUGAUAUAAUGAAGCUGUUGAAUUUUAUUAAAAACACAUAUGGAUUACAUUAAGUUGAAUGUUUUCAACAGGUUGAAAGAACUGAAAUGGGUUCAAGGCUACAAUUUUUAUUUCCUCCAAAUUAUAAAUUUCAAUUAUUUUGUAGUAAAAUAUUUUUCAAAAAAAUAAAAGUUAUACCAGAAUUCAGUAUUUUAUAGACAUAUAGAUAAAAACUAAUCUCAUUUUAUUUAGAUACCAAAAAUUCAUAUUUACUAUACUUUCUUUUAUUAACUUCUAAUCAACUCUUUUGUGUAUUUUAAUUUACUUUUUUUGUCAAAUGGAUCCUAUUAAUAAUUGUGACAAAAAAGGAUCCUAUUAAUAAUUUUAUUAACAUUCAAAAAUUUUGUAUCUUUCAUUUUAACAACGAAAAUUUUAAUAAUUAUCAGUUUCACAACUAAACUAAGUAAAAAGUAAAAAUAACUAAAAAAUAAGCAAAAUAUAAUUUUUUUUUGGGAAAUAUAAUAUUAAAGUGAAAAUAUUGUCUUUUAUGUAGUAAGAAAUGGAAAAUUAGAAUUCAUCUAAUGAAAUAAAUACUCAAACGUUAAGAAAAUGUGUUAGAAAAAAUUGAAAAAAACAGUGAUGACAAUUCACGGCUUCCUGAUUCUCUAGGAAAGUUAUCGAGUCUCGUUAGGUUGGAUCUGUCUGAGAAUUGCAUCAUGGCGCUACCAGCGACCAUAGGAGGGCUUCUGUCUUUGACGAGGCUCGAUUUGCAUUCGAAUAGAAUCGGUCAGCUUCCUGAGUCUAUAGGAAAUUUGAUGAACUUGGUCAACCUGAACCUUAGUGGAAACCACUUGACGUCUCUACCAUCGUCUCUGAGUAGAUUGGUCAAUCUCGAGGAGCUUGAUUUGAGCUCUAAUAGCCUCUCUGUUCUCCCUGAAACCAUUGGUUCCCUCGUGAGCCUCGAGAAGCUCGACGUUGAAACAAACAAUAUCGAGGAGAUUCCUCAUAGUAUCUCGGGUUGUUCUUCCUUGAAAGAGCUCCGUGCAGAUUACAACAGGCUUAAAGCUCUUCCGGAAGCUGUUGGGAAGAUAGCUACCUUGGAGGUUUUGACCGUCCGUUACAAUAACAUUCGGCAGUUGCCUACGACAAUGUCCUCCAUGGCUAACCUCAAAGAGCUGGAUGUGAGUUUCAACGAGCUUGAGUCUGUACCAGAGAGCUUGUGUUACGCUACAACGCUUGUUAAGCUGAACAUUGGGAACAAUUUUGCCAACCUGAGAUCACUCCCGGGGUUGAUAGGCAACCUUGAGAAGCUGGAAGAGCUUGAUAUGAGCAAUAACCAGAUCCGUUACCUUCCUUACUCUUUCAAAGCGCUUUCACAGCUGCGUGUUCUUCACACACAGCAAAAUCCACUUGAAGAGCUUCCAAGGGAUAUAAUCAAAAAGGGG